CAGACUACCAGAGCAUAGUCACGCUCUACUGCCAAUGUACUGCAUGAUCUUCAACAUGUCAUUUAACUUUGAAAAAUUGCCACCAGGAUGUGAGCUUCUCCUCAAAAUCACGGGUCUCUCUGAAGUGUGGAUGUGUGGUAGUGACCCUAUGAAGGUGCUUAAUCUCUGCACUUCCACCCAAAAUGGAGGAGAACCUCUGGACCAGGUCAGCCUCUUCUCUCUGGUUUUUAGAGACUUUGUUAGAGGACAGGGAGACUGCUUUGAAAGGAUCAAGAACAGCUCUGCAAAAGUGGGAGGAAAGAACAUAUAUAUAACAAUAAGCCUUUUCCCCCUUAAUUUUCUCAGUUGGCUGCAC